AUUGAACGCUGGCGGCAGGCUUAACACAUGCAAGUCGAGCGGAGUGAUGGUGCUUGCACUAUCACUUAGCGGCGGACGGGUGAGUAAUGCUUAGGAAUCUGCCUAUUAGUGGGGGACAACAUCUCGAAAGGGAUGCUAAUACCGCAUACGUCCUACGGGAGAAAGCAGGGGAUCACUUGUGACCUUGCGCUAAUAGAUGAGCCUAAGUCGGGUUAGCUGGUUGGUGGGGUAAAGGCCUACCAAGGCGACGACCUGUAGCGGGUCUGAGAGGAUGAUCCGCCAAACUGGGACUGAGACACGGCCCAGACUCCUACGGGAGGCAGCAGUGGGGAAUAUUGGACAAUGGGGGGAACCCUGAUCCAGCCAUGCCGCGUGUGUGAAGAAGGCCUUAUGGUUGUAAAGCACUUUAAGCGAGGAGGAGGCUCUUUUGGUUAAUACCCAAGAUGAGUGGACGUUACUCGCAGAAUAAGCACCGGCUAACUCUGUGCCAGCCGCCGCCGUAA
rnacentral:rRNA from 1 species